AUUGAACGCUGGCGGAAUGCUUUACACAUGCAAGUCGAACGGUAGAGGGGGCAACCCCUCGAGAGUGGCGAACGGGUGAGUAAUAUAUCGGAACGUGCCCAGUCGUGGAGGAUAACGUAGCGAAAGUUACGCUAAUACCGCAUACGAUCUAAGGAUGAAAGCGGGGGAUCGCAAGACCUCGCGCGAUUGGAGCGGCCGAUAUCAGAUUAGGUAGUUGGUGGGGUAAAGGCCCACCAAGCCAACGAUCUGUAGCUGGUCUGAGAGGACGACCAGCCACGCUGGAACUGAGACACGGUCCAGACUCCUACGGGGGGCAGCAGUGGGGAAUUUUGGACAAUGGACGCAAGUCUGAUCCAGCCAUGCCGCGUGCAGGAUGAGGGCCCUCGGGUUGUAAACUGCUUUUGUACGGAACGAAAAGGUCUCUCUUAAUACGGGGGGCUCAUGACGGUACCGUAAGAAUAAGCACCGGCUAACUACGUGCCAGCCGCCGCGGUAA
rnacentral:rRNA from 1 species